rnacentral:hammerhead_ribozyme from 1 species
UCGCGAAACCGCCCCUUUGCAGGAGGGGCGGUCGUCAGGGCGUGGUGGCCCUGGCCUGACGAGCAGCCAAGG